UAGGAUAGAGGCCUACCAUGGUGGUAACGGGUAACGGGGUGUUAGGGCACGGCACCGGAGAGGGAGCCUGAGAAACGGCUACCACAUCCAAGGAUGGCAGCAGGCGCGCAAAUUACCCAAUCCCGACACGGGGAGGUAGUGACAAUAAAUAACAAUACGGGGUUCUUUCGGAUUUCGUAAUUGGAAUGAGUACAAUUUAAAUCUCUUAACGAGGAACAAUUGGAGGGCAAGUCUGGUGCCAGCAGCCGCGGUAAUUCCAGCUCCAAUAGCGUAUAUUAAAGUUGCUGCAGUUAAAAAGCUCGUAGUUGAAUUUCGGGACCAUCAUGUCGGUCGUGCCUCGGUACGUACUGGCAUUGUUGGUUUCUCCCUUCUGACGAACCAUGAUGUCAUUUAUUUGGUGUUGUGGGGAAUCAGGACUGUUACUUUGAAAAAAUUGGAGUGUUUAAAGCAAGCUAACGCUUGAAUACAUUAGCAUGGAAUAAUGAAAUAGGACGUUCGAUCUUAUUUUGUUGGUUUCUAGGAUUGACGUAAUGAUUAAUAGGGAUAGUUGGGGGCAUUAGUAUUCAAUUGUCAGAGGUGAAAUUCUUGGAUUUAUUGAAGACUAACUACUGCGAAAGCAUUUGCCAAGGAUGUUUUCAUUAAUCAAGAACGAAAGUUAGGGGAUCGAAGACGAUCAGAUACCGUCGUAGUCUUAACCAUAAACUAUGCCGACUAGGGAUCGGAUGA
rnacentral:rRNA from 1 species